CCUACGGGAGGCAGCAGUGGGGAAUUUUGGACAAUGGGCGAAAGCCUGAUCCAGCAAUGCCGCGUGAGUGAAGAAGGCCUUCGGGUUGUAAAGCUCUUUUGUCAGGGAAGAAACGGUGAAAGCUAAUAUCUUUUGCUAAUGACGGUACCUGAAGAAUAAGCACCGGCUAACUACGUGCCAGCAGCCGCGGUAAUACGUAGGGUGCAAGCGUUAAUCGGAAUUACUGGGCGUAAAGCGUGCGCAGGCGGUUUUGUAAGUCUGAUGUGAAAUCCCCGGGCUCAACCUGGGAAUUGCAUUGGAGACUGCAAGGCUAGAAUCUGGCAGAGGGGGGUAGAAUUCCACGUGUAGCAGUGAAAUGCGUAGAUAUGUGGAGGAACACCGAUGGCGAAGGCAGCCCCCUGGGUCAAGAUUGACGCUCAUGCACGAAAGCGUGGGGAGCAAACAGGAUUAGAUACCCUGGUAGUCCACGCCCUAAACGAUGUCUACUAGUUGUCGGGUCUUAAUUGACUUGGUAACGCAGCUAACGCGUGAAGUAGACCGCCUGGGGAGUACGGUCGCAAGAUUAAAACUUAAAUGAAAUUGACGG
rnacentral:rRNA from 1 species